rnacentral:rRNA from 1 species
UACGUAGGGGGCAAGCGUUGUCCGGAAUCAUUGGGCGUAAAGGGCGCGUAGGUGGCCCAGUCAGCGUGCGGUGAAAGCUCGGGGCUCAACCCCGGGUCGGCCGUGCGAACUACUGGGCUGGAGCACUGUAGAGGCAGGCGGAAUUCCGGGUGUAGCGGUGGAAUGCGUAGAGAUCCGGAAGAACACCGGUGGCGAAGGCGGCCUGCUGGGCAGUUGCUGACACUGAGGCGCGACAGCGUGGGGAGCAAACGGGG